AACGCUAGCUACAGGCUUAACACAUGCAAGUCGAGGGGCAGCAUGGUCUUAGCUUGCUAAGGCCGAUGGCGACCGGCGCACGGGUGAGUAACGCGUAUCCAACCUGCCUUACACUCUUGGACAGCCUUCUGAAAGGGAGAUUAAUACAAGAUGUUAUCAUGAGUAAGCAUUUUCGCAUGAUUAAAGGUUUACCGGUGUAAGAUGGGGAUGCGUUCCAUUAGAUAGUAGGCGGGGUAACGGCCCACCUAGUCUUCGAUGGAUAGGGGUUCUGAGAGGAAGGUCCCCCACAUUGGAACUGAGACACGGUCCAAACUCCUACGGGAGGCAGCAGUGAGGAAUAUUGGUCAAUGGACGAGAGUCUGAACCAGCCAAGUAGCGUGAAGGAUGAGGGUUCUAUGGAUUGUAAACUUCUUUUAUACGGGAAUAAACGGAUCCACGUGUGGAUUUUUGCAUGUACCGUAUGAAUAAGGAUCGGCUAACUCCGUGCCAGCAGCCGCGGUAAUACGGAGGAUCCGAGCGUUAUCCGGAUUUAUUGGGUUUAAAGGGAGCGUAGAUGGGUUGUUAAGUCAGUUGUGAAAGUUUGCGGCUCAACCGUAAAAUUGCAAUUGAUACUGGCAGUCUUGGGUACAGUUGAGGUAGGCGGAAUUCGUGGUGUAGCGGUGAAAUGCUUAGAUAUCACGAAGAACUCCGAUUG
rnacentral:rRNA from 1 species